GGUGAGGGUGAUUUCCCUCCCCCAACCCUCCCGUUGGAUCCUGUAAGCUAAGGAGGGUCAGGCCUGGUUAGUGCUUGGAUGGGGGACCACCAAGGAACAGCCAGGUACUAUACUGC
rnacentral:rRNA from 1 species